rnacentral:lncRNA from 1 species
UUUAAGUUCAUUUACAGGUUCCAAAUAUACUCGGUCUGUAGUCUGACUUGUGAGGUGAAAUGGCAGAUCUCGUGCUUAAAGGGAUAGAUGUUGUGGCUGAUAUGCUGUUGCAGGAGCCGGACAGUCUUAUUAAUAAUAAUCAGAAUACACGAAAAAAGAGGAAAGUAUGGGCUCCAGAAUGGAUUCUCAGGCGUGGACAACUAGAUGCCUUUUCCAAUUUUCUGUGUCAAGUUGACAGCGAAGAUAAAAAUAUAUUUAAAAACCACCUACGAUUGACCCUAUUCAGUUUGAUGAACUUUUAAGACGUGUUAAAAUCUAAAAUUCAAAAAUAUAUCAACAAAUCUGACGGUUUCAGCUUUGCUCCACUUACGCGAUCGUCGUUUACUGCUUUCCGCCAUCUUAAAAAC